rnacentral:tRNA from 1 species
UCUCUGGAGGACUAGUGGUUAGGUCAUGGUGCUCUCACUGCCAUGGCCCAGGUUCGAUUCCCGGCCAGGGAA